rnacentral:rRNA from 2 species
GUACGGCCGCAAGGUUAAAACUCAAAUGAAUUGACGGGGGCCCGCACAAGCGGUGGAGCAUGUGGUUUAAUUCGAUGCAACGCGAAGAACCUUACCUGGUCUUGACAUCCACAGAACUUUCCAGAGAUGGAUUGGUGCCUUCGGGAACUGUGAGACAGGUGCUGCAUGGCUGUCGUCAGCUCGUGUUGUGAAAUGUUGGGUUAAGUCCCGCAACGAGCGCAACCCUUAUCCUUUGUUGCCAGCGGUCCGGCCGGGAACUCAAAGGAGACUGCCAGUGAUAAACUGGAGGAAGGUGGGGAUGACGUCAAGUCAUCAUGGCCCUUACGACCAGGGCUACACACGUGCUACAAUGGCGCAUACAAAGAGAAGCGACCUCGCGAGAGCAAGCGGACCUCAUAAAGUGCGUCGUAGUCCGGAUUGGAGUCUGCAACUCGACUCCAUGAAGUCGGAAUCGCUAGUAAUCGUGGAUCAGAAUGCCACGGUGAAUACGUUCCCGGGCCUUGUACACACCGCCCGUCACACCAUGGGAGUGGGUUGCAAAAGAAGUAGGUAGCUUAACCUUCGGGAGGGCGCUUACCACUUUGUGAUUCAUGACUGGGGUGAAGUCGUAACAAGGUAACCGUAGGGGAACCUGCGGUUGGAUCACCUCCUUACCUUAAAGAAGC